CUACCGCUGGCCCUAGACUGUUAGCCAUUAAGUAAGCCUUUGUGUUUCAAUUUCCCUAUCUUGUAAAAACACGAUAAUAUGUGCUUUGCUAAUCUCCUACAGAUUUAAAAUAAAUCAGUGCAUAUAAUGUGGUUGGCAUUACUCUCAGUAUUUCACAUGCAUGGCAGAAUAAAAUUAUGCAGACACUGUGUUUUUCACGUUUAGUGUUUCUAGUUCCCUCUCCUUUCUUACCCGCUACUCAAAUUCAGGGAGCAGCAGGAACUUGUUCUAUACUUACUGAUCUCAGGGUAGAAUUUUUACAGUAGUAAUACCAAGAAUCUGUAUGAGCUUUUUGUGGAUAUAUUGCCUUAAAAUAUACACUUGGGUCUAUAUCAUGGAGGAAAAGGGUUUUUUUUUUUUUUUUAGAGGUUUAAUAUGUUCUAUGAAUAACAAAAGCCGAGCUUUUCCAGCUCAACAAUAAACAGAAUACACAGUCAGAGCUGAAUUUCUCCCUCAACCUCCUGGAUCAUAUUCAAGAUUCCACAGUCUGGGAAGAGGAGAAAAAUCGGAGAUGAAAUAAUGGCACCAUAAAAGUCUCUGCACAGGACAAGAUUCCUGGCCCAGUCUCCAGAUUAGCUUUCGGUUGGAUUGAUCUAGAAUCCUGCACUUCAGGAAGAAGGCUUUACAAAGAGGAGAUGGUGUAUAUUAAUAAACCUACGUCGGCGUGAACAACUGAUCACCUUUUCCAGUAUUCUGUUUUCAUGUAAACAUGUUCAGUUAUCUUAACUCUCAUAUAUUAUUAUUGUUAUUUGUCUACUUAAAUUGCUUAAAAAUAAUAGUGAUAUGUUUUCAACUGUAGAGAAGGACUUGUUUUCAGCAGUGUCUGAUAUUAUGUAGAUAUCCAAUUAUUGUUUGCUAAAUAAAGAACAGAAUAUUUUCAUCAAGUGCCAUUAGUCCUCUGAAGCAAGCAAUUGCAUUUUUAAAUUCUACCAACAAAUAGAUUUUUCCAAUAUAAUUGUUUUUUACUAUUUUCAAAAGAGUCUAUUUCCUAUUCCUUAAAACUCAUAUGAAACUAAUUUAAGGGAAAAUUUAGCAUGAUAUCCUGUGAUGAAUUAUUAGUGCAUUAUUUCUGUAAUACAUUAGAAAAACAAAAUAUAUGCUCUAUUUGUAUUUUGAAGACAGAUUUUGAAGGACAACUCCAUUUGAGAAAAAAAAUCUAUUCAAAAAAUUCUGAAUGAAUCUGUACACCAAUUUCUUUGUGCUAUAUCUAUUACUAAAUCAAAUGCUAAAGGAAAAAACUAAAAUGUAUUAAAACGAAUAGUAAGAUUAUCUUGUUCUAAUAAGAAUCAUUUUAGUACUUUCAUAGUGUCUGAGAAAACUAUUAAAACAUGCAAUUUAGUUGUAUUUACAUUAUUUUAAUUAAGACAUUUCAUUGUGUGAAUAAUUUAAUUACUUCUGCUAUACACAUUAUUAUUUAAAUUUUUGUAGUUUAUAUUAUCUAGCAAUGUUGAUAUAGAAACAUAGGUGAAAAAUCAUGGUUGAGUUAUACUUUCUUGAGUAACCUUGAUCUCUACAAUAUAGAGGAUUUUUGGCAAUUAAAGUAGGAGAGACAAGCUCCUAGCUGUCUUUGACUACAUCCAUCUUGGUGUAUACUUAUUUAGAAAUCAAAAACAGCAUGUAAAAUUAUGAAUCAGAGCCCAUGGAUCACCUUAUGGAGUUUCAUGAUGACACUGUCUUCUCUCUGGAACUAUUUUUCUUUCUAGAAUCUUAUCUAAUUUAAUGUAUUUAAGUAUUAAUUCAUAUGAUAAUAUAAAUAUAUGGUAUUAAAUAUAUGAUCUGAUUAUUUACAUGAGAAGUUCACUCAGUUUUUCUAUGAAAGGAAAUGCUAUAGCAAAUUUAACUAUAAAACCUUUAAACAUCAUAGAAAUUGAUUUUAAUUCUAAUAGUUGCAAAUAGACAAUUGUUGUAUAUUGUUCUAUAUAAUUGCAUCUCACACACAGUGUUGAGUGUGAUCACAGAGGUGAGUGGCAUAUAAAUUCAGAGAAUCAAAGUAUGAUGCAUGAAGUGAAAAUAGUAUUCAUCUCUGUAAUGAAAAUAUAGCUAUGAGAUAGUCUUAGAUACUGAUGAUGCCUUUUAGAAAGUAUAAGAAUAUUGUAACAAAAUGCCAAUAGACAUGAUGUCUUGAUGUAAAAAUUAAAGAGUAUUCAAUUUUA